UGCAUGGACUUUCUUUGUUAUUCAGUUGCA
rnacentral:piRNA from 1 species